rnacentral:rRNA from 1 species
UACAGAGGGGGCAAGCGUUGUUCGGAAUUACUGGGCGUAAAGGGCGCGUAGGCGGCCUGUUAAGUCGAACGUGAAAUCCCCGGGCUCAACCCGGGAACCGCGUCCGAUACUGGCAGGCUUGAAUCCGGGAGAGGGAUGCGGAAUUCCAGGUGUAGCGGAUGAAAUGCGUAGAAUAUCUGGAGGAACACCGGUGGCGAAGGCGGGUCCUCUGGGCCGGAUACUGACGCUGAGGAGCGAAAGCAUGGGUAGCGAACAGG